rnacentral:lncRNA from 10 species
AAAAAAAAAAAAAAGAAUGGCUCCUUCGGAAAAUGCUUUCUGUUGUUGCAUCCCAGUUCGGGGAAGAGUUUCAGGGGGUUUCUAACAUCUAAGAAGCAGAUCCUUAAGAAGAAAAAAAUGUCACUUUUCAACACAUUUAUAUCUCAGAAAAACUCAUAUUCACCUUCCAUUUACUGGAAUAUUAUCUUCUUAUGUUAAAUUUAAAAACAAAAAUAUUUGGACAUCUGGUCCUGAUUAGAUUAACAUAAAAAAACCAAUCUAGGAAGAAAAUUGUUAAAGUUUAUUUCUCCAUGCUUUGUAAGAGAUGUCAUUUCUAAUAAAACUAUGGUACUUAUGAUUUAAUAACUAACUGAUUUCACUUUGCAUUUAUGCCACCAUCAUAACUCAACUUUUUAGAAAGUGUUUUAUGUUUUAUGUUCUAUGGUGAACACUUCCCAUCAGUGUGGCAUAUUUUAAUAAUCAUAGUUAUAAACUAAUACUUUUGUAACAGUUUGCAAUUUUCAAAGCACUUUGAGAUAAGACCUCAUACUAUCCUCAAAAACACUCCAUCUGUAGUGUAGACAUAAUAGAUAUUGUCUCCAUCUUCAGAUGAGGAAAUGAAGCCAUUUGACUUCUUGAUUCAGUCUUUGAACUUAGUCUUUUUAGUAUUACUCUAUCAGAGCUUUAUCUAUCCAUCUCUAUAUAUUUGCCAUCAAAUUUUUGUUUUAAUUUUUGGAAAGUUUCUUUAGAUUAUUAUUUUCUUUUUUCUAAAUUCAAGUUCUUCCCGUCUCUGGCUGUAGGGGGCCUCCUUAGAUGUGGUGAACAUUUUUUUCCCAAGGGCUUAUUUGUGUACCUGGCAGGUAUACAGAAAACUUUCCCAGUACCAAGAAGCAUCUUCAUAGAUGUCAAUCAACAACGUGUCUACCAGCCCCAGAAUGGACCACACUCAAUUCAAACCUUAUUUUGAGUUCCCGUCUCCUACUGGUAGCCAGGGAGAACAAACUCACAUUUACC